CACGUAGUUAGCCGUGGCUCAUUCAAGGGGUACCGUCUUCUGCUCUUCCCCCUUAAAAGAAGUUUACAACCCGAAAGCCUUCUUCCUUCACGCGGCGUUGCUGGGUCAGACUUGCGUCCAUUGCCCAAUAUUCCCCACUGCUGCCUCCCGUAGGAGUCUGGGCCGUAUCUCAGUCCCAAUGUGGCCGGUCAACCUCUCAGUCCGGCUACUGAUCGUCGCCUUGGUGGGCCGUUACCUCACCAACUAGCUAAUCAGACGCGAGGCCAUCUUUCAGCGAUAAAUCUUUGGUAUCAGUACCAUGCGAUUCCGAUACAUCAUGCGGUAUUAGCAGUCGUUUCCAACUGUUGUCCCCCUCUGAAAGGCAGGUUCCUCACGCGUUACUCACCAGUCCGCCACUAAGCAUUCCCUUCCGUUGUCCGAAAACUCCUUCAGGGUGCUCCGUUCGACUUGCAUGUGUUAAGCACGCCGCCAGCGUUCGUCCUGAGCCAGGAUCAAACUCU
rnacentral:rRNA from 1 species